rnacentral:lncRNA from 1 species
UCCAUAUAGGCGUGUCAAUGCGUUUGGUUCAGAAGCAUUACGCAGCCACUUGAAAUAGCUAACUUUCUUGUUUUAAAACAAGUCAUUCAACAUAACAGCAAAAACAGUGACUUGGAUGAGCAAUCUCAGUGGAAGUGAACAGCGGAAAACAGAGCAGAUGGUGGGAAAGAAUCCAGAAGCAGUAUCUUCUGAAGAAAUGAGGAAGACAGCAACAGUUGUCUGUAGACCACAACUGGAAACUGCUGUUACCAAGUAUUUGAGAAUAAACAUUGUUCUAAGGUUGUACUACACAGAAGAGCCUUUGUAAAACCGGACCUGUUGAUGUACUGCAUGAAUCUGAAGGAAAGAUGCAAUUAUAUAGUGAAG